rnacentral:rRNA from 1 species
UACGGGGGGGGGCAAGCGUUGUUCGGAAUUACUGGGCGUAAAGGGCUCGUAGGUGGCCAACUAAGUCGGACGUGAAAUCCCUCAGCUUAACUGGGGAACUGCGUCCGAUAUUGGAUGGCUUGAGUUUGGGAGAGGGAUGCGGAAUUCCAGGUGUAGCGGUGAAAUGCGCAGAUAUCAGGAGGAACACCGGUGGCGAAGGCGGAUCUCUGGGCCAUUACUGACGCUGAGGAGCGAAAGCGUGGGGAGCGAACAGG